CCAGAAUCGGAGCCGGCAAGCAUGGAACCAAGUGCGGCCAAACCCAGCACCCAGAGCAGUCGCCCACCACUACCAAGCGGAACCAGCCACCCAGGAGAUGCUCUGUAAUCAGACAGAAGAGCCCCUGGGAAUACUACAUGAGGUGAGGUCAGUACAAGCCACAGACAACAGGCAACAUCACCGUCAGCUGGUAACUCUGGAAGGGAAAGAGGUACAAGGGCUCCGGGAUU